rnacentral:rRNA from 1 species
UACGUAGGGUGCAAGCGUUGUCCGGAAUUAUUGGGCGUAAAGAGCUCGUAGGCGGUUUGUCGCGUCGAAUGUGAAAACCCGGGGCUCAACCCCGGGCCUGCAUUCGAUACGGGCAGACUAGAGUUCGGUAGGGGAGUCUGGAAUUCCUGGUGUAGCGGUGAAAUGCGUAGAUAUCUGGAGGAACAUCGGUGGCGAAGGCGGCAUCCUGGACCGAUAUUGACGCUGAGGCGCGAAAGCCAGGGGAGCAAGCGGG